rfam:Populus trichocarpa scaffold_9_contig_65, whole genome shotgun sequence.
UCUAGAACUCGAGAUAUGGGCUGAACACUGAACAGUGUCUAGGCUGCAGGACAGAUUCGGACUUCUGCGUUGUUCCUACAAUUUGGACUUGAAAAUGGCCUUUUUAAAUCUUGGAUUCCCCAUGAAAGUUUUAGGCAUUUGUCUUAGCUUUCCAUC